rnacentral:rRNA from 1 species
GUGUGUUAGUGGAACGGUCUGGAAAGUCCGACGGUACAGGGUGAUAGUCCCGUACACCAAAAUGCACAGGUUGUGAACUCGAUGAGUAGGGCGGGACACGUGGUAUCCUGUCUGAAUAUGGGGGGACCAUCCUCCAAGGCUAAAUACUCCUGACUGACCGAUAGUGAACCAGUACCGUGAGGGAAAGGCGAAAAGAACCCCGGCGAGGGGAGUGAAAAAGAACCUGAAACCGUGUACGUACAAGCAGUGGGAGCACCUUCGGGUGUGACUGCGUACCUUUUGUAUAAUGGGUCAGCGACUUAUAUUCUGUAGCAAGGUUAACCGUAUAGGGGAGCCGAAGGGAAACCGAGUCUUAACUGGGCGUUAAGUUGCAGGGUAUAGACCCGAAACCCGGUGAUCUAGCCAUGGGCAGGUUGAAGGUUGGGUAACACUAACUGGAGGACCGAACCGACUAAUGUUGAAAAAUUAGCGGAUGACUUGUGGCUGGGGGUGAAAGGCCAAUCAAACCGGGAGAUAGCUGGUUCUCCCCGAAAGCUAUUUAGGUAGCGCCUCGUGAAUUCAUCUUCGGGGGUAGAGCACUGUUUCGGCUAGGGGGUCAUCCCGACUUACCAACCCGAUGCAAACUGCGAAUACCGAAGAAUGUUAUCACGGGAGACACACGGCGGGUGCUAACGUCCGUCGUGAAGAGGGAAACAACCCAGACCGCCAGCUAAGGUCCCAAAGUCAUGGUUAAGUGGGAAACGAUGUGGGAAGGCACAGACAGCCAGGAUGUUGGCUUAGAAGCAGCCAUCAUUUAAAGAAAGCGUAAUAGCUCACUGGUCGAGUCGGCCUGCGCGGAAGAUGUAACGGGGCUAAACUGUGCACCGAAGCUGCGGCAGCGACACUAUGUGUUGUUGGGUAGGGGAGCGUUCUGUAAGCCUGCGAAGGUGUCUCGUGAGGGAUGCUGGAGGUAUCAGAAGUGCGAAUGCUGACAUAAGUAACGAUAAUGCGGGUGAAAAACCCGCACGCCGGAAGACCAAGGGUUCCUGUCCAACGUUAAUCGGGGCAGGGUGAGUCGACCCCUAAGGCGAGGCCGAAAGGCGUAGUCGAUGGGAAACAGGUUAAUAUUCCUGUACUUGGUGUUACUGCGAAGGGGGGACGGAGAAGGCUAUGUUAGCCGGGCGACGGUUGUCCCGGUUUAAGCAUGUAGGCGGAGCGUUUAGGUAAAUCCGGACGCUUACUAACGCUGAGGUGUGAUGACGAGGCACUACGGUGCUGAAGUAACAAAUGCCCUGCUUCCAGGAAAAGCCUCUAAGCAUCAGGUAACACGAAAUCGUACCCCAAACCGACACAGGUGGUCAGGUAGAGAAUACCAAGGCGCUUGAGAGAACUCGGGUGAAGGAACUAGGCAAAAUGGUGCCGUAACUUCGGGAGAAGGCACGCUGAUAUGUAGGUGAAGU